rnacentral:rRNA from 1 species
GAUGAACGCUAGCGGCAGGCCUAACACAUGCAAGUCGAGGGGCAGCACAGGAAAGUAGUAAUACUUUUGGGUGGCGACCGGCGGACGGGUGCGUAACGCGUAUACAACCUGCCUUCUACUGGGGGAUAAUUCGGAGAAAUCUGGUCUAAUACCCCAUAACAACCGACGAGGCAUCUCAUUGGUUUAAAAGCUCCGGCGGUAGAAGAUGGGUAUGCGUGACAUUAGAUAGUUGGUGGGGUAACGGCUCACCAAGUCGACGAUGUCUAGGGGGACUGAGAGGUUAACCCCCCACACUGGUACUGAGACACGGACCAGACUCCUACGGGAGGCAGCAGUGAGGAAUAUUGGUCAAUGGACGCAAGUCUGAACCAGCCAUGCCGCGUGCAGGAAGACGGCUCUAUGAGUUGUAAACUGCUUUUGUACGAGGGUAAAGUGAGGCACGUGUGCCUUUUUGAAAGUAUCGUACGAAUAAGGAUCGGCUAACUCCGUGCCAGCAGCCGCAGUAA